rnacentral:tRNA from 1 species
GGGCGGGUAGCUCAGUCGGAGAGAGCAUCCGGCUUACAUCCGGACGGUCGCAGGUUCGAGUCCUGUCCCGCCCA